AGAGUUUGAUCCUGGCUCAGAACGAACGCUGGCGGCGGGCCUCAUACAUGCAAGUCGAGCGCGAAAGUCCGCAAGGAUGAGUAAAGCGGCGCACGGGUGAGUAACACGUGGAUAAUCUACCCCUUGGAUUGGAAUAACCUGUCGAAAGACGGGCUAAUGCCGAGUAAGCUCCCGAGAGCGUGAAGCUCUUGUGAGGAAAGAUGGCGCAAGCUAUCGCCGAGGGAUGAGUCUGCGUCCCAUUAGUUAGUUGGUGAGGUAACGGCUUACCAAGACAAUGAUGGGUACCUGGUCUGAGAGGAUGACCAGGCACACUGGAACUGAAACACGGUCCAGACUCCUACGGGAGGCAGCAGUAGGGGAUAUUGCGCAAUGGACGAAAGUCUGACGCAGCCACGCCGCGUGAGUGAGGAAGGCCUUCGGGUUGUAAAGCUCUGUCGCCUGGGAAAAACGACUAUCUGGGGAAAGUUCAGAUAGUGUGAUGGUACCAGGAAAGGAAGCACCGGCAAACUCUGUGCCAGCAGCCGCGGUAAUACAGAGGGUGCAAGCGUUGUUCGGAAUUACUGGGCGUAAAGCGUGCGUAGUCGGUAUUGAGAGUCACGGGUGAAAUCCCAGGGCUUAACCCUGGAACUGCCUGUGAGACCUCAGUACUAGAGUGUGAGAGGGGAUAGUGGAAUACCCAGUGUAGCGGUGAAAUGCGUAGAGAUUGGGUGGAACACCGGUGGCGAAGGCGGCUAUCUGGCUCACAACUGACGAUCAGGCACGAAAGCGUGGGGAGCAAACAGGAUUAGAUACCCUGGUAGUCC
rnacentral:rRNA from 1 species